GCCCAGGUAGCUCAGCGGGCAGAGCACACCCUUGGUAAGGGUGAGGUCGCCGGUUCAAGUCCGGUCCUGGGCU
rnacentral:tRNA from 3 species